UACGGGGGGGGCAAGCGUUGUUCGGAAUUACUGGGCGUAAAGGGCUCGUAGGCGGCCAACUAAGUCAGACGUGAAAUCCCUCGGCUUAACCGGGGAACUGCGUCUGAUACUGGAUGGCUUGAAUCCGGGAGAGGGAUGCGGAAUUCCAGGUGUAGCGGUGAAAUGCGCAGAUAUCGGGAGGAACACCGAUGGCGAAGGCAGCACUCUGGGCCGGUACUGACGCUGAGGAGCGAAAGCGUGGGUAGCAAACGGG
rnacentral:rRNA from 1 species